UUUAUGGAGAGUUUGAUCCUGGCUCAGGAUGAACGCUGGCGGCGUGCCUAAUACAUGCAAGUCGAGCGAACAGAUAAGGAGCUUGCUCCUUUGACGUUAGCGGCGGACGGGUGAGUAACACGUGGGUAACCUACCUAUAAGACUGGGAUAACUUCGGGAAACCGGAGCUAAUACCGGAUAACAUUUGGAACCGCAUGGUUCUAAAGUGAAAGAUGGUUUUGCUAUCACUUAUAGAUGGACCCGCGCCGUAUUAGCUAGUUGGUAAGGUAACGGCUUACCAAGGCGACGAUACGUAGCCGACCUGAGAGGGUGAUCGGCCACACUGGAACUGAGACACGGUCCAGACUCCUACGGGAGGCAGCAGUAGGGAAUCUUCCGCAAUGGGCGAAAGCCUGACGGAGCAACGCCGCGUGAGUGAUGAAGGGUUUCGGCUCGUAAAACUCUGUUAUUAGGGAAGAACAAACGUGUAAGUAACUGUGCACGUCUUGACGGUACCUAAUCAGAAAGCCACGGCUAACUACGUGCCAGCAGCCGCGGUAAUACGUAGGUGGCAAGCGUUAUCCGGAAUUAUUGGGCGUAAAGCGCGCGUAGGCGGUUUCUUAAGUCUGAUGUGAAAGCCCACGGCUCAACCGUGGAGGGUCAUUGGAAACUGGGAAACUUGAGUGCAGAAGAGGAAAGUGGAAUUCCAUGUGUAGCGGUGAAAUGCGCAGAGAUAUGGAGGAACACCAGUGGCGAAGGCGACUUUCUGGUCUGUAACUGACGCUGAUGUGCGAAAGCGUGGGGAUCAAACAGGAUUAGAUACCCUGGUAGUCCACGCCGUAAACGAUGAGUGCUAAGUGUUAGGG
rnacentral:rRNA from 1 species